GUGUACCCGGUGCUCUGAGAAAUGGAGAGCUGCGCAAAGUUCCCCUCCCGUGGAGCUUAAAGCCCGAAAAAUCCUCUGUGCACAACCCAGGCUGGCAGAAUGGCAGUUGAUCCGCAGUGGGAGCCCAAAGAGUGAAGUGGGUUUGAAGGGAGCACAACUAGAAAGACGUUCCAAAACUGGCUGCACGGUAUUUAGAGAUUUGGGCACCAGCUGUAACGUGCACAUAUUUGCAGAGACUUCUGUUCAGCUGAGAACGGGCUGUGGACUCAAGAUGCUUAAUGGAAGUGGUGGCUCAGAAGUAGACUGGCUGUUCAGUCUCCAGUGAAGCAGAUGAGAAGUGCAAUCGGUCUCAGCCAGAAGAACCGGGUACCCUUCAAUCUGAGGCCUCUAAUGAUCUUGCAAUGACACUGGGCCGAGGAACAGUUUGCCUCUUCUUUCUUGUCACUGGGCACCUAGCACUGGGAUUGUUUUUCAGGAGUUGGGGCUAAGUGUGAAUUGCGUUCCUGACAGCCCAGAGAUACCUUCUGCUGUGAGGGAGAAGUGGAACUGGCCUGAAUGUGGGGCAGAUUUGAAUAAACCCUUUCACCUGUCCAGCAGUGCAGAAUUGUUCUUUGCCUUUUAUUUGCUCUUGCUGUGCUCAGGCUAAUCACAACCAACAAAACUUCAGCUGUUUGGGCAAGUGUAUCACAAGCCAGUGCACCUCAGCCUUAGGAAAUUUAUCUUACUGUUCAAGACAAUUCCUCAAACUCCUUGACAUUUACUCCUAUGGGUAUUUGUAGACUGUUAUGUCUGCCCUUACUUGUUGUUUAACCUAGCAGUAAGCAUUUAGCUCUGUCCUCAUAAAUCAUUUCCCUUCAGCUCCCUGGCUAGAAUGACUGUUCGUGCUCCUAACUAUGAAAAGCCCAGGCUAAGCCCACCCUUUAAAUGACUGCUUCCUGCUGGGCUUUAUUGGUGGCACAAAAUCGAUGUUCAAGCCAUGAUUUCAUUCCUGGCUCACUGCACGAUCCUUUGCUGAUUACACUGACCUAAGGAUCCAUAUCCGCAGGUCACCAGAUUUCUUUCCUGUGUCCUCCUUGCAUACACUUGCUCCACCUUUUCUUCCAACUUUAAAACCACCAGUUU